rnacentral:rRNA from 2 species
AAAUCUUAGCAACAGAUAUACGACACUUGCAUUAUUGAAGAAAGUAGCGAAAUGGGAACUUGGUGUGAAUUAUAGAAUCCCGUGAACAUGGAGUCUUUGAACCCAAGUUGCGCUCAAAGCCAUUCGGCCAAGGGAGCGUCUAUUUGGGCGUCA